rnacentral:rRNA from 1 species
GACGGGUGAGUAAUGCUUGGGAAUCUACCUAGUAGUGGGGGAUAGCCCGGGGAAACCCGGAUUAAUACCGCAUACGCCCUACGGGGGAAAGCAGGGGAUCUUCGGACCUUGCGUUAUUAGAGCGGCCGAUAUCUGAUUAGGUAGUUGGUAGGGUAAAGGCCUACCAAGCCGACGAUCAGUAGCUGGUCUGAGAGGACGAUCAGCCACACUGGAACUGAGACACGGUCCAGACUCC